rnacentral:rRNA from 1 species
UACGUAGGGUGCGAGCGUUGUCCGGAAUUAUUGGGCGUAAAGAGCUUGUAGGCGGUCUGUCGCGUCUGCUGUGAAAAUCCGGGGCUCAACCCCGGACUUGCAGUGGGUACGGGCAGACUAGAGUGUGGUAGGGGAGAGUGGAAUUCCUGGUGUAGCGGUGAAAUGCGCAGAUAUCAGGAAGAACACCCGUGGCGAAGGCGGCUCUCUGGGACGGUACUGACGCUGAGACGCGAAAGCGUGGGGAGCGAACAGG